rnacentral:rRNA from 1 species
GACGAACGCUGGCGGCGUGCUUAACACAUGCAAGUCGAACGGAAAGGCCCUGCUUUUGUGGGGUGCUCGAGUGGCGAACGGGUGAGUAACACGUGAGUAACCUGCCCUUGACUUUGGGAUAACUUCAGGAAACUGGGGCUAAUACCGGAUAGGAGCUCCUGCUGCAUGGUGGGGGUUGGAAAGUUUCGGCGGUUGGGGAUGGACUCGCGGCUUAUCAGCUUGUUGGUGGGGUAGUGGCUUACCAAGGCUUUGACGGGUAGCCGGCCUGAGAGGGUGACCGGCCACAUUGGGACUGGGAUACGGCCCAGACUCCUACGGGGGGCAGCAGGGGGGAAUAUUGCACAAUGGGCGGAAGCCUGAUGCAGAAACGCCGGGUGCGGGAUGACGGCCUUCGGGUUGUAAACCGCUUUCGCCUGUGACGAAGCGGGGGUGACGGUAAUGGGUAAAGAAGCACCGGCUAACUACGU